rnacentral:rRNA from 1 species
GACGAACCGAGCGAACGUUAUUCGGAAUCACUGGGCUUAAAGGGCGCGUAGGCGGGCGGUCAAGUCGGAGGUGAAAGCCUGCAGCUCAACUGCAGAAGUGCCCCCGAUACUGAUCGCCUCGAGGGAGGUAGGGGCGUGCGGAACUUCCGGUGGAGCGGUGAAAUGCGUAGAUAUCGGAAGGAACACCUGUGGCGAAGGCGGCCCCCUGGUUGGAUACUGACGCUGAUACGCGAAAGCGUGGGGAGCAAACAGG